GCAUAUCAAUAAGCGGAGGAAAAGAAACCAACAGGGAUUGCCUUAGUAACGGCGAGUGAAGCGGCAAAAGCUCAAUUUGAAAACGCUUCGGCGUGUUGUAAGUAAAGUGGUUAGACGCUUUUUAAUAAGUCCCUUGGAACAGGGCGCCAUAGAGGGUGAUAGCCCCGUAUUAAAUUGUCUAGUGUGCUACUUUAGAGCGAGUCGAGUUGUUUGGGAAUGCAGCUCAAAUAGGUGGUAAACUCCAUCUAAAGCUAAAUAUUGCUGG
rnacentral:rRNA from 1 species